GCAUUAGGAGAAGCAUUCAUGAGGAGGAUGUUUUGGUAUCAUUACAGAAUUCAUGGAAACUACGUUACUCAGUGCCCUGUGUGUGAAAGAUGAACAUAAGGUGAAGAGGAGCCUCCGCCAGGCCUCUGCAGACCUGAGCUGCACCGGUGUCCGCGCAGCCCGGGGGAGCGGGCAGGAGGAUCACCGGGUGGCGUGUGCAGUUUGGGCGACCUUGCUGAACUUAUCUCGGUCUCACUUGUGCCCUUUGUGCACUGGUUUCUGCUGGGAGUUUCUUCUGCUGGAGCCCACAAUACCCUCAUGUCAUUGCCUUCAGCGGGGCCAG
rnacentral:lncRNA from 1 species